rnacentral:rRNA from 1 species
CUACGGGGCGCUGCAGUGAGGAAUAUUGCGCAAUGGGCGAAAGCCUGACGCAGCAACGCCGCGUGGAUGAUGAAGGCCUUCGGGUUGUAAAAUCCUUUUUUGGGGAACGAUAAUGACGGUACCUCAAGAAUAAGUCCCGGCUAACUACGUGCCAGCAGCCGCGGUAAAACGUAGGGGGCGAGCGUUAUCCGGAUUUACUGGGCGUAAAGCGCACGUAGGCGGUGCCGUAAGUUGGAUGUGAAAGCUCCUGGCUUAACUGGGAGAGGUCGUUCAAAACUGCGGUGCUUGAGGAUAGAAGAGGAGAGUAGAAUUCCCGGUGUAGUGGUGGAAUGCGUAGAUAUCGGGAGGAAUACCAGUGGCGAAGGCGGCUCUCUGGUCUAUACCUGACGCUGAGGUGCGAAAGCGUGGGGAGCGAACGGGAUUAGAUACCCCUGUAGUC